UUGUGAAAUGAUGGCAAUUAUCUUUUGGAUCUGACUUGAAAUGAGAGAAUACUCAUUGCCAUUGACUU